rnacentral:rRNA from 1 species
AUUGAACGCUGGCGGCAGGCCUAACACAUGCAAGUCGAGCGGUAACAUUUCAAAAGCUUGCUUUUGGAGAUGACGAGCGGCGGACGGGUGAGUAAUGCCUGGGAAAUUGCCCUGAUGUGGGGGAUAACCAUUGGAAACGAUGGCUAAUACCGCAUAGUAGCUUCGGCUUAAAGAGGGGGACCUUCGGGCCUCUCGCGUCAGGAUAUGCCCAGGUGGGAUUAGCUAGUUGGUGAGGUAAUGGCUCACCAAGGCGACGAUCCCUAGCUGGUCUGAGAGGAUGAUCAGCCACACUGGAACUGAGACACGGUCCAGACUCCUACGGGAGGCAGCAGUGGGGAAUAUUGCACAAUGGGCGCAAGCCUGAUGCAGCCAUGCCGCGUGUGUGAAGAAGGCCUUCGGGUUGUAAAGCACUUUCAGUCGUGAGGAAGGGUGUGUAUUUAAUAGAUGCGCACUUUGACGUUAGCGACAGAAGAAGCACCGGCUAACUCCGUGC